CAAUAGCGUAUAUUAAAGUUGUUGCAGUUAAAAAGCUCGUAGUUGGACCUUGGACCUGGACAGGCGGUCCGCCUCACGGCGUGUACUGUCUUGCUGGGUCUUUCCUCUUGGUGAUCUGUUGUUUCGGCAGCAGGGAACCAGGACUUUUACUUUGAAAAAAUUAGAGUGUUCAAAGCAGGCUCGACGCCGGAAUAUAUUAGCAUGGAAUAAUAAAAUAGGACGUGCGGUUCUAUUCUGUUGGUUUUUGGAAUCGCCGUAAUGAUUAAUAGGGACAGUCGGGGGCAUUAGUACUCACAUGCUAGAGGUGAAAUUCUUGGAUUUUGUGAAGACUAACUUCUGCGAAAGCAUUUGCCAAGGAUGUUUUCAUUAA
rnacentral:rRNA from 1 species